CCCCUAGACGUUCUGGGCUGCACGCGCGCUACAAUAAUACGCACAGCGAGUAUCACCGAGCUCGAAAGGGCAAGGUAAACAAUAGAAAAGGUACUGUAAUGGUUAUAGAUCCUUGUAAUUAUUGAUCUUCAACGAGGAAUUCCUAGUAAGUAUGUGUCAUCAUCACGCACUGAUUACGUCCCUGCCCUUUGUACACACCGCCCGUCGCUCCUACCGAUUGGGUGAGCCGAUGAAACUCUCGGAUGUAGGCUAUGCAUAGCCCGCAGAAGAGAUUUGAAUCGUAGCGCUUAGAGGAAGGAGAAGUCGUAACA
rnacentral:rRNA from 1 species